rnacentral:rRNA from 1 species
GAUGAACGCUGGCGGCGUGCCUAAUACAUGCAAGUCGAGCGAACAGACGAGAAGCUUGCUUCUCUAAUGUUAGCGGCGGACGGGUGAGUAACACGUGGAUAACCUACCUAUAAGACUGGGAUAACUUCGGGAAACCGUAGCUAAUACCGGAUAAUAUUUUGAACCGCAUGGUUCAAAAGUGAAAGACGGUCUUGCUGUCACUUAUAGAUGGAUCCGCGCUGCAUUAGCUAGUUGGUAAGGUAACGGCUUACCAAGGCAACGAUGCAUAGCCGACCUGAGAGGGUGAUCGGCCACACUGGAACUGAGACACGGUCCAGACUCCUACGGGAGGCAGCAGUAGGGAAUCUUCCGCAAUGGGCGAAAGCCUGACGGAGCAACGCCGCGUGAGUGAUGAAGGUCUUCGGAUCGUAAAACUCUGUUAUUAGGGAAGAACAAAUGUGUAAGUAACUGUGCACAUCUUGACGGUACCUAAUCAGAAAGCCACGGCUAACUACGUG